rnacentral:rRNA from 1 species
UACAGAGGGGGCAAGCGUUGUCCGGAUUUACUGGGCGUACAGCGCGCGCAGGCGGUUGCGUAUGUGAGCGGUGACAUCCGCGGGCUCAACCCGCGGCGGCCCGCUUACACAGCGCGACUGGAGGCAGGGAGAGGGAUGUGGAAUACCCGGUGGAGCGGUGAAAUGCGUAGAGAUCGGGUGGAACACCAGCGGCGAAGGCGGCAUCCUGGGCCCGAUAC